UUUUUUUUUUAAAAAAAAACUAUCUUUUUCAUCUACAAACUUGAAUCGGGUCUUUUAAAACCAAAGAAAAAUGAAAAUGAAAAGAGAAAAAAUAAAAGGGGUCUCGGUCUAGUUUUUCCCUUUUUUGACCCUCAUCGGAAACCCAAUAGGUUUCAGGGUGUCUAAGGGGUGGCGAUGACCCUUAUCAGCGAUGAGAAAGUAGAACUCUGGUGGGUUUCAUCGUUUAUUUAUUUUUAUUACAAAAAAGAACAGAUUUUUAAAAGAAAAAAAUAUAAAAGAGUCACCUUUAGAAACUUUUUGCUUCUAUCUUUUGAUUAAUUUUUGCGUGUAACCCUUACAUCAUUUGGUUUCUGGGCUUAUAUAGCCGAAAAAUACACUUGAUUUAAUAUUAUUGCUAUUGCCUAUGCCUUUGCUAUUUUCUUGCUUUGUUUCUGCUCUGUUUUUGCCUUUUUGCUCUGUUGUCUUGCUUUGUUUUCUUUUUUCGCUUUCUUUUGCAGGCCCACAAUGGGUCAAUCGGGCUGUAGAUGGUCGUUUUGGUGCAAUGGGGGCCGAAUCUUGGGCGUUGUGCAUGUCGAGGGCGCACAUGGAGGCGCAACACCUUAGGUCAUUAGGGUUUUUUCUGUUGUUUUAUGUUUUGGGCCGUGUUUUUGGGUUAGGUUUUAGUUUUGGGCCUGCAAGACUUGGGCUUUGUAUUUGGGUUAUUUGUUUGGGCUGAUGAUUUAUUGUAAAUGGACUUGAUAUUUGGAUUUUUGGUGUAUUAUUAUUGGUAAUAGCUUGGUCCAUUUAGGCUUUUGUUGCCCCAGGCUAAAUUGGCCUACUACACUGUUAAUACGAGACUUCGGACAUGUUUGAUAAUGAUUUGACGAUGAUUCGGUAUUCGAAAUCUCGGUUGAACCUUAAGAAUGAAUUUGGAUACUAGUGACAUGUCAUUAGAGGAUUAUUGUGAUUAUGUGAUCCGGGUGCUGGUCUUGUACGUCCUACCGGUGGCUGAGUAUACCGGCAUGUGUUGCGGUUACUUAACAGCUUGUGUGAGUAGCACCGUGUAGCUACGUCUUGACCCACAGCUUGUGUGAGCAGACCCGUUGAUAGCUCUAGUGUGAGCAAUAUAUGUGAUAUAAAAUUGAGAUAGCUUCGGCUAUAUAUGUGAAACUUCAAAUGCGAGUUUCCCAUGUAUCCGAUAGUAUUUCGAAUGGUUCAACGGGUAAAUGAAAGAUGUGGAUGUGUAUGAGAUUGAUACGAGAUGGUACAGGUAUGUACAUGAACCGUAUAAACUUAAAUCGAAGAAGUUACGGAGUUCAUAUGUAAAGAUUUGGGUGGCAAAAUGGAUUGGUAAAUAGCCUAUUUUUGUCUACACGGGCAGAGACACGGAUGUGUGUCUCAGUCGUGUAUGACACAUGGUUAUGUUACAUGGCCGUGUGUCCCCUGGUGUCGAAAUUAAAAUCAAGUCAGCAUGCUCCACAUGACCUCACACACGGGCAUGUGACUUGGCCUUGUAGCAUAAGUUAGUAUACUCUACAGUUUUUGCAUGGCCUAGCACAAGGCUUGGCUCACGGGCGUGUAUGGCCUUUUUUAGGGCACACAGGCUAGCCUCACGGGCAUGUGUGUUGGCCGUGUAACCCAAGUCAGAGAGUUAUACGGGGUCAGACAUGGGCUGGGACACGGCCAUGUGCUUCUAUUUCGAAUGUCCACACGGCUUGUGACACGGGUGUGUUUUUGGCCGUGUGAGAGACACGGUUGGGCAACACGGGCGUGUGUCCCCUGUUUUUGAGAAAAAAAAUUUCUAAGUGUUCUAAGAGUUUCCAAAGGUAUCGGUUUAGUCCCAAACCACUCCCAAUGCAUAUUUAGAGCCUCGUAGGCUCGUAUUAGGGACAAUAUGAUUGGUUGUGAUUGAACUGUAUUUGAAUUGAUUAAUUUGUAUGUGAAAUGUAUGUUUAAAUAUGUUAUAAGUCCAGUAAUGUUCUGUAACCUUAUUCCGGCGUUGAAUACAGGAGAGGAGUGUUACAAAUUGGGUCGUGUAACUAGCUGAGGCCGUGUGGAUUAAAAGUUACCAAAUCUAUUGUACUCACAUGGACGUGUGGCUAGCCCGUGUAUGACAUACGCCCGUGUGCCAGCCCGUGUAGUACAUGAAUGUGCCAUUAAAUAUCCAAUUCAUGCCGGCUCAAAUGGUGUACAUUUGGCCAUUCAAACCUGCAUAAAACCAUUCUAGACACAUGCUAAUUCAUCCAUUUUGCUAACCACAAAACCAUACAAGCUAUCCCACAUGUAAUGAACACUUUGGAAAGCUUAAUAGCCUAUAUAUUCAUCAAUCACUCAAACAAAGCAUACUAAACAUCUUAACAUUUCAAACUUAAUCUAAACACAAGCAACAUACGCCAUUUAACUUGACAAAAAUGCCAAAGUGCACAUUUUAGUACACAACUCAUUUACUAAUCAAGUUUAAUAUCAUUUAAGGUUCCAAAAACACUAUCACUCAAGAUAACAUCUAUACAUUUUAUGCCCAUACUCAAGAAUUACAUUACCAACCUUUACAUUUAUUUACAUACCAUAUAACCAUUCACAAUGCCAAUCACAUUCAAAAACCAAGUACCAACAUUCAAGAUUGACCAAAACAAAUCACCUAUAUACAUGCCACAGAACAAAACUUCAAACGAUUAACAAAUUACCGAAUCAACAACAUGAUAGUGUGAGCUUUUGGACUAUCAGCCAAACAUAUUCCGCAAGUUGGAAAUCUAUAGGGAAAGGGAAAACAAACAAGGUAAGCAUAUACAAUGCUUAGUAAGUUUACAGGUAUUAAACCAAGUAACUUACCUCAGGUUAUAAUUAUACACUACAUGCUACUUAGCUUGGUAAAGUUUGCCUAACAUGGCGUAUCAAAUAUAAAAAAAGCGAGUUCAACAUUUAUCAUACCAUACACAAUUCACUUAUUCAAUAUUUCAUUACCAUUCACAAACAAAUAUUUAUUUAACCAAUUCACUAUCUUAAACAUAUCAUACAGUCUAUUUAUUCGCAAGACAUCCCAUUUCAAAUUAAUGGCAAACAUUAUUUUCAUUUCAAAAUUUGAAUUCUCAAUCUAAUUCAUAUUAAACCAUAUGAACUUCAUUCCCAUAUCAUAUCAAUUCAUCUUUAUACUAAAUAUACAUCAAAUGUCAACUUAAUGUCAAUCACUACUUUGUUUCAUAAUACAAAUUAUGAAUCACAUUCAUCGAUUUAUCACGUUUCCAUAAUAGCCUUCUGGGCUUGUAUAACUAAUUCACAAUAUGUAUAUGUAUCAUUCGAUGAUCAUAUCAACUCAAUUUGAAAUAAAUUAUUCCAUUUACAUUAUACAUGUCCUAUUAACCUGACUCAGACAUGGACAGAUACACGGAUCCAACCAAUCACAUCAAUUUGGCACCUAGUACCAAUUGGAUAAAUCUGAAAUCACAAGUUUCGCCUAGCAUUGGUCGGUAAAACUGACAAAUAGAUAUGCCAAGCACUGGUUGGUAUAACUGACAAAUAGGUGUGCCUAGCACUCCUCGACACGUAGUUGUAAUAACCCUAAACUCUUCCUAUCCUAUGGCAUGCCAACUAUAUCCAACUCUGCCCGAACAGUUAAUAGGUUAACAGUUUCUCAAUUUCGUUUAUAAGCUAAUUUCUCAAUUUAAUGCUUUCAUUUUAUCAACCAAUUAUAAAUUUGUAUGCAUAAUAUUAUAAUUCAACUUAUCAUAAAGCUAAUUUUGCAAUUACUACAAUAUACAAUAUUUCCAUAUCUAUUCAAUUUAGUUCUCUAUUUCAAAGAUCAAACAUAAUUAUAUCAAUUUAAUUCAAUUCAACUAAUCUAUCUCAUAUUGCAAUUCAUUGUAUUCAAUUUAUCAGUCAAUUUUUUAUUUCUUUAUGAUUUAAUCUAUAACUCACCUUUUUGUACCGGAUUGUAAAAAAUCAAAAUUUCAAUUAAGCAUAUUAACAAUUAUAAUUUUAAAAAUAUAAAAAUUUAACACAAACAUAUUGUAUGAACUCACCUAGUCAAAACAACAAAUGAUUAAUUCUCUAAGGACUAAUCAAUAAAAUUGCCUUUUUCCCCAAUUAAUUCUGAUUUGGUUCACUUUUAGACCUAUACAAUUAUUCAACUCAAUUUAUCAAUUCCAACCCUCUUAUUUCAUUCAAUUAUCAACAUAUAUCAGCUCAAUUUUAUUAUUCGAAUACCUCUAGACUUUUUCAUUUUAUUUAAUUUAGUCCAUAAAAUCAAAACUAUCAUCAGCUUCGAUUUUCAAUCUGAUUUCAAUUCAAUCGUUAUACAGCCCCUCUAUAAUCUAUAUUUAUAGAAAUCUCAUGCCAAAUUCAAAAUAUUUUCAUUUUAGUCCUUAAAUUUAAAACUAGAAAAAUUCCUUUUACAAACUAGCCUUAUUUCAUUUAUAAGCUUUAAAAUAUGCCAUUAACAUUCAAAAACUUCAAUUAACAUCAAUAGAAACUUUUCUAAACUUUUGCAAUUUUGAAAACGGAGGUUCGAGUUAACUAAAUCGAGUUACAACGAUCACAAAAAUAUAAAAUUUACGAAGAACGAACUAAAAUUACCUUACUAUACAAGAGAUGACCGUUUGGAGCAUUCAACAAUGGGGCUUCUUAUGUUUUAAUUAGGUUGGACGGCAUGAAGAAGAAAGUGAAUAGGAAAUUGAUUUGUUUAUCCAUUAAAAAUACUUAAAUACUUUGGUAAAAAUGUAAAAAUCUGAAACUUCUAAUUAAAAUAUAAUUUUUAACUCCCUUUUCACUAGAAAGAUAAGUGCCAACCGUCCAACAUAUCUUACAAUGGCCAAAUUUCCAUUUCAAACGUAAAACAUUUCAUAAUUAACCCAAUUACUAAUAAAAUCUAAUUAAUUAACCAUCCAAACUCAAAAAGUUUUAGACUUAACUUUAAUUCACCAAUAUAAUAACUCCAUAAAUAUUCAAUAAUAUAAUUUACGGGUUAACCACGAGAGUUAGGUGAGAUGGAAAGGGUUUCUCCUACCUUAACUAGUGGUCGAGGGUUCGAUCCUCGCCCUGGGUAUGGAGCAACUUUAAAACUCGUGGCCAGCAUCUACCCCUUAAUGGGCCUAUAGAAUGCAGAUGAUUAGUUAUUGGGCUCACUCCAGUAGAUACCUUAAGAAAUAAAAAAAAAAUAAUUUACGAGUUUGUUUUAUGAAAAUGAGGUCUUGGUACCUCCUUUUCCAAAAUGACUGGCUUUCUGUACGAACCACUUGUACCUUGAAUAAUUGACCAAUUAAUAAAAUCUAUAAAAUCAAAAAUCACAAUAAUGCCAUAUUUAAGUCGUUGCAAUAAUGAGAAACUGCUUCUGUGGUUAAUGGCUUGAUAAGCGCAUUAGCUAUCUAAUCAUUCCCAUGCAUGUAAUUGACCUGAAGCUGUCCACUAAGAACCUUGUCUUGAACAAAAUGUAAGUAAAGUUCAACAUGCUUGACACGAGCAUGUAGCAUAGGGUUGGCUGCCAAGGACAUCGUGCUGGAAUUAUCGCACCAAAUCACUAAAGUGCCUUUAAGCUUUACUCCUAUUUCAUCAAGUAGAGAGCGAAACCAUGUUAAUCCGGAUGUUGCAUUUGCUAGACUUCUAUACUCAACUUCUAAGGUGGAUUGAGACACAACACUCUGCUUCUUGGAGUCUAACCAAUGAGAUUGUUGCCAAGAUACAGAUAAAAUCCUAAGGUUGACUUACGGUCCUCAAGAGAGCUAGCCCAAUCGACAUUAAAAAAACCUAUUAAGGACACAUUUGAAGGUUGAAACACCAGACCAUGAGUAAUUGUACCUUGAAUAUAUCGUAGGAUUUGUUUGACAGCCAUCCAUGAACAUCAUGAGGAAGAUGCAUGUAUUGGUGUUGUCUAACAACAAAUGCUAUGUCGGGUUUGGUCAAGCACAAAUAUUGCAAACUACCAAAAAAUUGCUUAUAUUUGGUACCAUCGACAAGAGGUGAACCAACCAAAGAAGUGAGAGUAGGAGAACUUACCAUAGGAGUGUUUACAGGUUUGACGUUGGCCAUGAUAGCAUGUUCCAAUAGUUUUCGAGCUUACUUUUGUUGGGAUACAUGCAUACAAUCCCCAUUUUGAGUGACAUCAAGACCAAGAAAAUAACUCAGCUCUCCUAAGUUUUUUAAAGAGAAUUUCUGAUCAAGACAAUGAAUCACUUCAUCUAGCUAAGAACAAAUGUCACCAGUUACAAUUAUAUCAUUUACAUAUACAAGAAGAAAGACAACCAGAUAGAGCCCGUUAAUUUCUAAAACCAUGCUCUCGUCGCUUGCUUGAGACAUAUAGAGCAUUGUUCAGUCUACAAGCUAGAGGAUUCCUAUUAGCAUCAAAAACCUUGAACCAAGGUGGUUGUUUCAUGUAUAUGUCUUCAACCAAACCACCAUUUAAGAAUGCAUUGUUACACCAACAUGACGCAAUUUUCGUUUCCUCGACAUGACGAAAGCAAGAAUUGUUCGAAUUGUGUUAGCUUUGAAAUCUGGACUGGACGUCUCAUGAUAAUCCAAUCCAGGAGCUUGAGAAAAACCUUGAGCAAUAAGGUGAACUUUGUUACGAGCAACAUUGCCAUCUGGAUUAUUUUUUAUAUUGAAUAACCACUUGCAACCAACGAGUUACCUAUUAGCUGGUGGAGACACUAAAUCCCAAGUUUUGUUCUUGACUAGUGCCUGUAGCUCAUCAUGGAUAGCAUUCCUCCAUGAGGGAAUAACCAUAACCUCAUGGAUGUCAACUGGUUCAAUAGAGCUAAUUGUGGCAGCGUAAGCUUUUGGCUUGUAAGUGCCAACUUUGCUUCGAGUUAUCAUAGGAUGACUAUUACUUUGAGCUGGACCACAUGCUGAGAGAUGUACACACGACCAGUUUGAUCCAAGCAUUUAUAGCCUUUGUGAUUAGGUGCAUACCCCAAAAAUGUACAAGGUGUGGAUCUGUAUUGAAGUUAGAGUCGAUUGUAUGGUCUCAGCAAAGGAAAGCAGAGACACCUUAAAACUCGAAGCAGUUGAUAUUUAGGUUUUUGACCAAAGAGUCUUUCACUUGGAGAUACUCCACUCAACGUCUUUGUAUGAGAUAUACUGCAGAAUAAUUUAAAAAUUAUAAAAAUAUUCAAAAAAUAUAAAUGUUCAUAAAAAAAAUAAAAAAAUAGCAUGAAAUACAAGUGGAUUACAAAGCUAUCAUGUUUAAAAAUUUAAUAUUUAAAUCAGUAUUUCCGUUAAAAAAAUCUACCUUUAAUUUAAAAGUACAAUAAUAAAAAUCAAUCAAAAUAAAUUAUUGCAAUAUAAUGAUAAAUUUACACAUUAACCUUACUUUUCUUUUAUUGUUGAAAAAAGGAAGCUACACCAUUCAAUGAAGCUUAUUGCAUUGUACAUCUAAAAUAACACACUUCUUACGAUGCGAGUCUUAAGGCCCAAUUUCAGACCCAUAGAUGUGACGAGCUUACAUUACCUCAAAGCCCAACAAGGUUAAAGGCCAAGGAAAUCAAACCAAGAUUCGAUCAAAGACAAUAUGUGAGGAUGAAUCUUUUUAAGGAAACGAGUAAUGAUGCAUGCACGAGUUGGGUGAAAUUUAUCAAAGUCAACUCAACCAAGCUGUCAAUUUUUAAACUAAAAAGAUUAGUCAACUUGUGACAAAUUUUUUGAUGGUAUCUAGGUAUUUAUGGGCUUCGAUGUCUGCAUAAAUUUUGAAGAUCUAUCUCUUAACUUUGAAAAGCAUUUUGAAUCACUGGAUUUUGAGUUCAAGAGCUUAAGUUAUGAUCAUUUUGGUGAAGACUGUGCAAGCAGAAUUUCUGGAUGGGAUUAUGACGAAAAUUACGAGUUUCAGACUUUUAAUUUGAGUUUAAAUCAUAUUGGGUUUAAUUUUUAGGCUUAAUCAUGUAUUUAUUAGGUUUUAUUAUUUUAUUAUUUAUUUAUUCCAAAUUUUGAAUAUUGUUUAAGUAUUUUAAGUUGUUUAGGAGUUUUUGUUUUUUAGCAAAACAAGAAAGUUUCAUUUGGCUGUACUUAGCUAGCCUAUAUAAAGGCUUUUUCAUUGUUUAUUAAUAUAAUUAUUAUUUUCAUUAAUAAAGUUUUCAACUUCGAGAGUUAGUUUUUUUUGUGCAAGAUUUCUUUCUUGUGAUAUUUAGAAAUAGUUUUUUCUCGAUUUUUUUCAAGGAGUCGUCGGAAUUCAUUCUUCAUCCUUCAAUUUGCCAAGGAUUAUUUCUUGGAGGGUUAAUUAGAGCCAUUAAUUGAGUUUACUGGUAUUUAUGUCUCAAAGAGUUCAAUUUAAAACUUAUCCUUUUAUCCAUCAUAUCGUUGAUUUACUCAUUCCAUCUUUCAUUAUAUAUAUAUAUUUAUUUCUUAUUUAUUUAUGACUUAUAUUUGCUCUUUGUUAUCAAAUUUCUUCUUUUAUUGUUUUCGUUUUCUUUAUUACUAAAUUUUUUUUAUUUCUUAUUUUUAAGUAAGAUCCAAAUAUUUUAUUCUUAAGUCAAAUAACUUGAAUAGGAUCCUUCUUCCGUUUCUUCUGCUUCAAUUUCUAAUCAACUUUAAGGGUCUCCUAGCAAAAUGGAAGUGAUUCUUGUCGGUGGAGCCUCAAAAUUACGUAGGUCUAGUGUCACGGGGCUAGACCUUUUGUCUCGCAAUCCGUGCAGCCUUAGGCGAUUCGCUCGUCCAAACUCGCCCAAGUCAGCCUUUACUCGAAUGAGGGUUCCUUAAGAACUCCUCCAAGGCACAAACUCGUAUAGCGGAAGCAAACUUAUGCCAAAAGAAGCUUAAAAAGAACAACAGAAAGGGACGCUCGCAAAGUGUUUGAGUAAAUGCUCUCUAUUCUCUUAUUCACAAAGAAUAAUGAAACAAUGAAUGGAGUGAGUACAAAUGAGGGGGAGGCUCUCUAUUUAUACUUGAGCUCCCCUAAAACCGACGAUCAAGAUACAAUUACAUCGACGGACGAGAUUAACCAAUCCCAUGAUUUAAGGGAUUUUACAAGAUAUUGCCAUAUCAAAUCCUAUCUAAUCUUUACAAGAUAUGAUUCCCUUUAUCUUUAAAGAUUAGUUACCAUAGUUGCCUAAGUUGCCAUAUCUUCGCUAUCGGGCCAACCAGGCUUCAAUCUGACAGGCUUUUCCAAUAGUUCCUUGAAUCGGGCCAGCUCUCGUGGGCCAAAUGAUCCCCAUCUAAGUAAUAGACCUCCAUCGGAUGCAUUUCGUUCGAUGGUCACGGGCUUUGAACUCUGGCCCGUGACAUUCUCCCCCACCCAUUUCUUGCAACGUCCUCGUUGCGACUCCCGAAUGGCACUGACUUGAUUCACCUUGGAUCCCACUCGUUGCUUUAGCUCUUCCCUUCCUUCGGGACUUUUGCCUCGGCUUUCGUCGCUUCUUAAUUCGAGCCGUCCUACUCAUUUGUACAUCUCGAUGACAAGGAGUUAUGUCACUCCCUUGCCAACAUUCUAACUUCCCUCGAACAGAAUCCUCGUGAUUCACAACACUUGGCUUCGCUUUGCCCACAAUUUCUUGGCCUCCUUGCUCAAGAACUUCAAAAGGGCCCCUACGUUCUCGCAAAGUACACAAGUUAGAAUGCAAAACACUAUCAGAGUGUUUCGAAUGUACCUUUGCAUUUACUCGGGUCAACUGUCCCACAUGCAUCUCUUCUUUUUCCUUGAAGUCCGAUGCACCACCACCUCUCCCAUAGGUGGAAGCCUUGUCGAUGACUCGGUCAACUCCGACGCUUCACUCGAUUCGAGCCUCAUUGGUUCCAGCUUCACUGUUUUCAUCGCAACUUCUUCCUCUAAGUCCGAUGACAAACUCACCUCUUCCUUGGGUGGAAGCCCCUCCGACGACUCACCAUGCUCGGACGUUGCCUUUCCUUUGACUAUGGCUUGCUUUGGACAGUUCCGUAACUCAUGCAGACUAUGGCACAAGAAGCAUUUUACUCGCUUCUUUUUGCUCCUCUUAGCCUUCUUGGCUUCGGCUUUACCCUUGCUCGAACCAAGCUUCUUGGGCUCAUUGUCUGCUCCAUCGUUCCCUUCGAUAACAGACUUGCUCCUCUUUGCCCUCUUGGCUUUGGCUUUUCCCUUGCUCGAACCAAGCUUCUUAGGCUCCGUAUCUGCUCGAUCAUUCCCAUCGAUAACAGACUUCCUUGGACACUUCCGCAACCUAUGCGGACCAUGACAUAAGAAGCACUCGACUGGCUUCUUCCCGCUUUCGGCCUCCUUGGCUUCGAUACCCCUUGUGCUCGAACCAAGUCCCAAGGCCUUACCCACCGACUUCUUCUUAAGCGCGAAUUUUAUCGGACAUUUCUUUAACAUGUGUGGACCGUCGCAGAGAAAGCAGUUCAGCUUGUCCCUUUUCUUCUUGGGUUUCUUCUUCCCAACUCGUGGUUUCCCAUUACCAUAAUUGUCGCCGUUGCCAUUGCCAUACUCAUCUAUAUCUUCCUUGUGAUUCCCUUCACAUACGCCCCUUUCCUCGGACUUGGAAGAUCCAAGCUUGUCUUUCCCUAGACCAAGCUAACCACGGAUACCGCUACCUUCAUGGCUUCCGACAGCUUUUAGACACCUCUUUGUUCCACCUCCUGUCUGACCCACGGCUUCAAUCCCUCUUGAAAAGCAAUCAUUGCUUCUCUCUCAGUCACAUCCAAAACUUGGAGUAUGAGUUCCUUGAACUCACGAACAUACUCCCCCACUGUGCCCCGUUGCGUUAUCCCUUGCAACUUUGCCCGAGCUUCUUCCUCGGUAAACUCCGGGUAAAACUGUCCAUUCAACUCGCAUUGGAACUUCUCCCAUGUUCCAAUCUCACCUUGCCUUUUAUCUGUGGUCCUACCUCGCCACCAUAAAAGCGCAAUAUCAGUAAGAAAUAAUGAAGCAGUUUGUACCUUACCCGUAUCAUCCACGAUGCCUUUGGCACGGAAGUAGUUUUCCAUCCUCCACAAGAAAUUAUCCACAUCACAUGCAGACCUUGUCCCUACAAACUCUUUCGGCUUCGGGACAUACUCACUACUGAGUGCUGCACUUGACACUCCUUCCCCCACAGCUGCUCGACACAAGGCCAGCUCUCCCUCGAUCUCCUCUAUUCUUGUGUUUAAAGCCAGCGUCGUGGCCAUUGUUUCCUCCUUCAAAUCCAUCAACAUGGCCUCAAGAGCAUCGUUCCUGUCCGACAGUUUAUCUUUAUGUGAAUCAAAUAACUCGUUUACCUUAUCCAUGGUCGAAUCAAGAGACAUCUUUACAUAGUCUCUGGACUGUUCUUUCCAGUUAUCUAUGUGACCCUCGAACCCAUCGAGUGCGUCUUUUACGCCUUCCAUGGAUCCUUCGAGUUUACCCACACGUUCCUCUACUACCGACAGCAUCUCCCUCAAACCUUUUCUUGCCCUCCUUUGUUUGUACUCUUCUUUCGACAUCCCAACAGUGCCUUCAAACCAAUAGCUCUGAUACCAUUUGUCACAGGGCUAGACCUUUCGUCUCGCAAUCCGUGCGGCCUUAGGCAAUUCGCUCGUCCAGACUCGCCCAAGUCAACCUUUACUCGAAUGAGGGUUCCUUAAGAACUCCUCCAAGGCACAAACUCUUACAGCGGAAGCAAACUUAUGCCAAAAGAAGCUUAAAAAGAACAACAGAAAGGGACGCUCGCAAAGUGUUUGAGUAAAUACUCUCUAUUCUCUUAUUCACAAAGAAUAAUGAAACAAUGAAUGAAGUGAGUACAAAUGAGGGGGAGGCUGUCUAUUUAUACUUGAGCUCCCCCAAAACCGACGAUCAAGAUACAAUUACAUCGACGGACGAGAUUAACCAAUCCCAUGAUUUAAGGGAUUUUACAAGAUAUUUCCAUAUCAAAUCCUAUCUAAUCUUUACAAGAUAUGAUUCCCUUUAUCUUUAAAGAUUAGUUACCAUAGUUGCCUAAGUUGCCAUAUCUUCGCUAUCGGGCCAACCAGGCUUCAAUCUGACAGGCUUCUCCAAUAGUUCCUUGAAUCGGGCCAGCUCUCGUGGGCCAAAUGAUCCCCAUCUAAGUAAUAGACCUCCAUCGGAUGCAUUUGGUUCGAUGGUCACGGGCUUUGAACUCUGGCCCGUGACACUAGUAUAUGGUAUGUAGUAAAUCUUAUCGGGAAACUAGUCAAACUUUUGUUCUGUUUAGUUUUUGAAAAUAUUUUAUAUUUUUAUUUUAGGAAUUUUUUUUAUAUUUAAAUUUUGAAAAAUUGUUUAAAAGGAACAUUUUUUUUGCAUUUAUAUGGAUUUAAACCUUCAUUUUCGUUAUUUUUAUUUUUAUAAAACAUUUUUAGUGAAAACAUUGUUUUCUCAUUUUUCGCAUAUUUUCAUUUUAACUUUUUAAGAAACAAUUUUAAAAUUUUAUAGUAAACAUAUUUUCUUCAAUGUUUUCCAUUAAAAAACCGUAAACGAAUAGUUUUGUUUGUUGAAACCAAAUUAAACAUUAUUUUCUCUAUAGUUGAAAGAUUAUGAUUUUCAAUCAGCACCUUUGGAAAGCCAAUUUCUCGCCUACAACUCAACUCAUUGCACAUCCCAAUCCAACUGUUAUUCCCAUCUUUAAUACCAUAAAAAAGCAUCAAAAGGAAGAGAUCUAUAUAGAGCAGUACGAUCAUCGAGGUUUAAGAAUUGUAAUCACCACAUCAAUCUCAACAUCUCCAAAACUGUUGUCUAUUUGAGUGGAAUCAGUAACAAGUGAUGAUUCUAAUAGCUUCAAAGAUAUUUGGCUUUUUAUUUUAUUAGGAUUUUAAUUUUUUUUAUUUAUGUUUAGUUUAUGUUUUGUGUUAUUUAUUGGUAAUUGAUGUUAGUUCAAACUCAUUUUCGAGUAUCUUUUAGUAGGUUAUUUGAAUUCGUUGUUGUGUGUACUUGAUGUCAAUAGUUUGGUAGAUCUAUUAGUAGAAUGAGCUUAUAGGGGUGUAUGAGUUUAAUAAAACAAACGUAUUUUAAUAGUACAAUAUAUGUGACACGUGUCACCAUGUUUCUUAAAAGGAAUAGAAUUGUCAUGUGUCAACCUCUUAUGAAUAGGCUAUGUCAAGUGAUAGUUUCAUAUGAAGUUUAUAUGUGAUAAACUAAUAUUUCCUUUUUUUCUUUUUUUCUUUUUUCUUUGUAAAAACAAGUGUGACAUGCAUUACAUGCACAAUAAACUUGUUAUCUAACCUAACGACCUUCUUUUUAAAAUAAUCUAAAAUUCAUCUUAUUUUUAAAUAAUUAUUAAAUUUAGUAUAGCAAGUCUAAAAUAUAAAUAAUUGCCUAGGUAAGUGGAUAAAUUAGAUAUAUUAUAAACGAAAACAUAAAAUACUAAAAUUAUUUUUAUAUUAAUAUUUAUAAACUCUAUAACAGGGGUGAAGUUGGAAAUUUUCAAAAAGGGCCAAUAUAAUGAACAAUGAUAAUAUUUUUAAAAAUAAAAAUUAAUUAAAGAGAAAUAAUUUAAUAAAUAAAAAUAAGCUAGAAAGAAAUUUUAAAAUUUAUUUGAAUUGCACUCUUUGACCCUUAAUCUCACUAAAAUCAUCAAGUCUUUCGUUUUACAUUUUUUUUUUAUUUUUUGCAAUUUCUUUCUCAAUCAACUAAAGAACUUCUCAAAAAAUCAUCUUCCAUCUUACUACAAAGUCGAGUCUUCAUAAUCUUCGUAGUAAAAAAAAGCACAUUCUGUGGAUGCAAUUGAAACAGGAAGAGUCAAUAUAAGACGAAUCAAUCUAUCAAUGAGUGGGUACAUGACUGAAUUUCCAUUCUCAACUAAACUUCUACAAAGUUCAAAAAGUGUUUAUAUUUUUCUCAAGUUAGGAUGCUGACAUACAUGCCAAUAUCACUUCAACUCAUCUAGAUAGAACUUGUAGCACCCCUCACCUGGUUUAGUCGUCGAACUUGAGCUAUAACGUGCUACAACAAUUAACAGAGUAGUACACAUACAUUUCAGGCUUUAAAAUUUAAUUAAACGAUAAAACAUUGCAUACCCCAUGCACAAUAUAAAUUACAAUUAAUUCAAGCCUUAACCGAGCUUACGAAAGCUUUAAAGUUGACUCAAAAACAAACAGGGAUUAAAUUGGAACAUUUCCAAAAGAUAAAGGCAAACAUGUAAAAAUACGGGUUACACAGUUGCGUAUCAAGACCGUGCAACUCUCUUAAGCCAUGUGCAUCAAGAUACAAAAUUUCAACAAAUGUUGCACAGUGUGUGAUAGGAUCGUGAAUGUAACAUCCCGAAUUAGGGUUUAGUCAGAACAGUAGUUUUGAGACCACAAAUUCGAAGUAGAAAUAAUUUUUUUAUGAUUAUUAUAAGGCCUAUGAUAUGCUUGCAUGCUUAUAUGAAAAUUUCAUGUAGAAAUUUUAUUGAUAAAGUGUUCAAUUUAACUUUAGGACUAAAUUGAAAAAGUUACAAAAUAUGAGAUUCUAGAAGCUUUAAGUAUGAAAUAGAUUUGAAUUAUUAAUUAGGGGUCCUUAAAUAGAAAAUUGUCCAAUUUCUAUUUUUAUGGACAAAAAUUGGCAUGAGUAGGUAAAAUUUGAAAGUUUAGUAAAAAGGGCAUUUUGGUCAUUUGGUUAAUAAAAGAAUUAAAAGGGAAAAUAAGUAAAAGAUCUUGUCCAUCUUCAUCUACCUUGGCCAAAAUUUCCAUGCUCACCAUAGCUAGGGUUUCUUCAACUUUCAAGCUUAAUAGUAAGUGCAUCUAUCCCCCUUUUUAAUGUUCUUUACAUUUUGAAGUUGUCAUCAACCGGUCUAGCUAUUUCUACCAUUAUUUUGAGCUAGGGUUCAUGUUCAAAAACUUACCCAUGUGUGACAUGCAUGUACUUUGAUGUUUAAUGGAGGAAUAUGAAAUUUUGAUAUGUGAUAAGCACUUUUUGUUAAGUGAUUUUUGAUGAAAACACCUAAAAAGGACCUUUUUGUAAAAGGUCUAUAAUGAGUAGUAAGAUGCGUUUUAAUGGGAAAUGUGGGCUGAUAUGCGCAUGUGUUAAGUUCGGCUAGGCUUGGGUGACAAAGAAAAUGGACACAUUUCAUUUUACGAGCUUAGGGGUUAAUUUGUAAAAAUGUGAAAGUUUAGGGGCAAAACUAUAUGUAAGGCCCAAAUUCUGCCCGGGCCCAGACCACAAGAAUAAACCAAGAAAAAACAAAAAUAAUUAACAGCCCAUCUAAUGUCCAUUUACAGUUCAAAUCAUUACAAUAUUCCACAGUCCAAAUUACAUGACCCAAAUUUAAAACCUAAACCUAAUAUUACAAUAGCCCAAACCCAUUGUUUAGACCCAAAACCAAAUAGAAUGGCCCAUUAACCAUGACCCAAAAAUAGGCCCAAUAAGCCCAAUGUCUAAACCGAGAAACCCUAGCAGCUUUCCACUUGAGCCGCAGCAGCCCUCGCAACCUCCAGGCGUCGUACAACGCCUCCAGCAACCACGUCAAUAGCCCUCGUACGCCAGCACAGUCUCCGUACGAUGCCAACGCAUCCUGUACCUACAAGAAGGACAAACACAACGGCAAAUACAAACAAAAAAUGGCAGAACAGCAAAUAGAAGGGAACGGAAAUUUUAUUUGGAAUUUACUUUCCUUUUUCUUUUUUCUCUUCAGCUAUAAAAGCCAAGCUGUGAAUCGGUUGUAAGGUUAGGAAGAUACACAUAUUGAAUGCAAAGAGCAGAGGUGAUUUCAUACUUUUCUUUUUUUCUCUUUCGAUUUUUUUUAUUUUAUUUUCUUCUUAGUUUACUCAUUGUUAUUAUAUACAACUUAAAGCCGAUGAAAGCCAUAAAUAUUUCUGCUAUGCGGAUAUAAUGGCGAGAGGUCAAGUAGCAGUAUUUACUUUACAAAUCUGUUUCUAUUUUUUUCUUUUAAAAAUAAUGUGAGAUUCGAGUAUUUCAUUCAAACAAAGAAGGAGAGGAGAAAGAUACUUACUAAAUCCUUUUAAAACUUGUUCAAGUGUCUUCAACGGGGGAAGCGGGUGCUUUUUGCAUGCAGAUGGUCACCAAAAUAAUGGUGAUUCGGCUGCUAAAAAGAAACCCUAGAAACUUAGUUCCCAGGCUGUGUUUUUCGGCUACAAGUGGGGCUGUGUUUUGGGGAAGAAGCAGAGAAAAAAUGGUCUUAAAUGACCUAAUUUUGAAACGGUGCCGUGUCAGAAAGGGAGGGGUCCGCGCGUCCACCCGAUUGGAGACCCGACUCCACCCUUGUGCGCCUAAAUUGGGUUAUUUAGGUAGCAGGCCCCUCCCCUUUCGCGCCAUAUUUAAAUCAGCCCAUGUUUUUGUCUUGUUUGUUUUUAAUUUGGCCUUGUAACUUACAUCCGUUUGCAAUCUAACCCGCCCCUAAACGCAACGUUUUGGGAUCUGGUAUAUUACCAGCUUUAGUCCCUAGGUGUUUUUGCGCGUUGGAUGUUGGUCCUAUUAUCAUUACUAUUUUAUUUUUUAAUUACCCCAUGUAUUUUAGUUUAAUUUUAAUCGAGUCCUUUUAUCUUAUACCUCUUUUUAUUUUAUUUUAUUUGUGCAUUUUAAUUAAUCUUGAUAAAUACUUCUUCAUUCUUGUAGAUUCGUUUUUGUUAUAAUAUUAUUAUCAUAUUUCGCACUCUUUA
rnacentral:lncRNA from 1 species